GACGAACGCUGGCGGCGCGCCUAACACAUGCAAGUCGAACGGAGUCACGAGGAGCUUGCUUUUCUUGACUUAGUGGCGAACGGGUGAGUAACGCGUGAGUAACCUGCCCUGGAGUGGGGGACAACAGUUGGAAACGACUGCUAAUACCGCAUAAGCCCACGGAUCCGCAUGGAUCUGCGGGAAAAGGAUUUAUUCGCUUCAGGAUGGACUCGCGUCCAAUUAGCUAGUUGGUGAGGUAACGGCCCACCAAGGCGACGAUUGGUAGCCGGCCUGAGAGAUUGGGCGGACACAUUGCGACUGAGACACGGCCCAGACUCCUACGGGAGGCAGCAGUGGGGGAUAUUGCACAAUGGGGGAAACCCUGAUGCAGCGACGCCGCGUGGAGGAAGAAGGUUUUCGGAUUGUAAACUCCUGUCGUUAGGGACGAUAAUGACGGUACCUAACAAGAAAGCACCGGCUAACUACGUG
rnacentral:rRNA from 1 species